AUUUAUAUAGUUUAAUCAAAAUUUAAUAUUGAAGAUAUUAAGAUAAUUUUUAUAUUUAUAAAUA
rnacentral:tRNA from 1 species